UGGGGAAUUUUGGACAAUGGGCGAAAGCCUGAUCCAGCAAUGCCGCGUGUGUGAAGAAGGCCUUCGGGUUGUAAAGCACUUUUGUCCGGAAAGAAAUCCUUGGCUCUAAUACAGUCGGGGGAUGACGGUACCGGAAGAAUAAGCACCGGCUAACUACGUGCCAGCAGCCGCGGUAAUACGUAGGGUGCAAGCGUUAAUCGGAAUUACUGGGCGUAAAGCGUGCGCAGGCGGUUUGCUAAGACCGAUGUGAAAUCCCCGGGCUCAACCUGGGAACUGCAUUGGUGACUGGCAGGCUAGAGUAUGGCAGAGGGGGGUUAGAAUUUCACGUGUAGCAGUGAAAUGCGUAGAGAUGUGGAGGAAUACCGAUGGCGAAGGCAGCCCCCUGGGCCAAUACUGACGCUCAUGCACGAAAGCGUGGGGAGCAAACAGGAUUAGAUACCCUGGUAGUCCACGCCCUAAACGAUGUCAACUAGUUGUUGGGGAUUCAUUUCCUUAGUAACGUAGCUAACGCGUGAAGUUGACCGCCUGGGGAGUAC
rnacentral:rRNA from 1 species